AAUUUCCCCUAAACCCCAAAUCCGUGAGAUUUAUCAUUGGUUUUCAGAGGGUGCUCGGUUGUAGAUGUGCUUUUGCAAACAAUUAAGUGAUUUCCGCAAAUCCCCGACCCCUUAUCACGCCACAAAUGAUUCCACAUAAUCCCUAUCCUUCUCUACAUUUUUUUUUGCCACAGGAUCUCGUGACAUCCCUGGGCAGUUAUGCCCAUCUCACUUUUCUUUCUCAAAUGUGCAUUGUAGGUCUGGAUCUGUACCAUGCUACAUUUCUUUAUCCCUGAACUUGUGAUGGUGCUCCUCUGAUCCAUUUAUUAUGUAUAAUAUCUGGUUUUCUGCACUUUUUUAUUAUUUUGCACUGCAGCUACAAUCCAUCCAUCUGUUUUUUUACUGAUCUGAGGCAUUUUGCAUAUGAAGUGAUGAUCUCUCUACUCUUUUCUUACUCACUUUGCCAUAUGCAGUGUUGACAUUCAUUUUCCACGUACUGAACUGACCCAUUUGAACUUAAGCUUGUGAAGGGGCAGAGUACUAGGAUGGGCAUGAUGAACUGCGGUUGAUAGAUAACCUAAAUUACCUUCAACCAAGUCGGCUGCUUUGCUUCCGAGUGUUGGACAUUUUUUUUUCUUUUGACCAUAGUGCAGCAAUCUAAUUAAUGAAUGAAAUAUGGAUAAGUUUGAUAGAUAACCUGAAUUACCUUCAACCAAGAAGUGUCAAUAUGUGUUUAUUUUCAGUAAAAGGCUAAAGUUUUCGUUGUUAUGCCUUUCUCGAUGAAGUGCUAAAUUAUGUCCCUAUCUUCAGUUCCUGAUUUUAUAAUUACGUUUACUUGGGAUAUAAGGCUCUGCUGUUGUGAGUUGCUAAAUAUUCCAACCACUUUCACCUGCAGGUGUAACUUCCACAGAAGGAUUCUCUUGAUGAUGGCUUAUGCACACACCAUUGUUUUCAAGUUCCUGUGUAGAUCAGGAAAAGCUGAUGAGCGUUGUGCACGCCUUGAGCUUGGAUGCCGCUGCAGCGCGGUCCGGCCGACGCUGGUGCUUGGGCAGGUUGAACCAUAAAACAUGGUGGCUGUGUUCUCUUUCGGGACUAUGCCUUUGGGGACCUUGCACAGAUGAAUAUCUGAUUGACUUAUUCUCAAAAUGUGGAUUUACUCUUGAGGAAAUAUGUGUGCACAACAAGCAAUUUGAAAACCAUUCACUUGACUUGGUGAUGAACAGGUGGUUUCUUUUUUUGCCAGCAUUGCUAAUGAUUUUUACUAUAUAUCUCUACAGUGAACUUAUAGAGAAAUGAGUUAGCUGUAUUCUUCACUCCAAACACUAUCUCUGUAACAUUUUCAAAAUAGAAAGUUCAGCGACCAGAGUUACUGAUAGUAUAUGCAUUUCAGUAUGAUAAAUUUGAAUUUUCUGAGCACCGUGUACGUUCUAAAAAUGCAUGAUUCUUUAGUUUUCUUUUACUUAGCUCUUUGCUUUCCUCUAUCAUCAAUAUGCAUUAUAUUAAGUUGUACAUGGCAUAAAAGAUUGAUGAAAUCAAGUAUCUAUUAAUGUAUUGUGCUGGAUCCUAGCUUGCUUA